GUGGAUUAGAUACCCUGGUAGUCCACGCCCUAAACGAUGUCUACUAGUUGUCGGGUUUUAAUUAACUUGGUAACGCAGCUAACGCGUGAAGUAGACCGCCUGGGGAGUACGGUCGCAAGAUUAAAACUCAAAGGAAUUGACGGGGACCCGCACAAGCGGUGGAUGAUGUGGAUUAAUUCGAUGCAACGCGAAAAACCUUACCUACCCUUGACAUGUCAGGAAGGCCGAAGAGAUUUGGCUGUGCCCGAAAGGGAGCCUGAACACAGGUGCUGCAUGGCCGUCGACAGCU
rnacentral:rRNA from 1 species